GACGUAGGAGGCGAGCGUUGUCCGGAUUCAUUGGGCGUAAAGAGCGCGCAGGCGGCUUGGUAAGUCGGAUGUGAAAUCCCGAGGCUCAACCUCGAGACGUCGGCGGAAACCAUCUGGCUAGAGUCCGGAAGAGGAGAGUGGAAUUCCUGGUGUAGCGGUGAAAUGCGCAGAUAUCAGGAAGAACACCCGUGGCGAAGGCGGCUCUCUGGGACGGUACUGACGCUGAGACGCGAAAGCGUGGGGAGCGAACAGG
rnacentral:rRNA from 1 species